UCGGACCUUGUGCUCCUGGAGCGGCCGAUAUCUGAUUAGCUAGUUGGUGAGGUAAAGGCUCACCAAGGCUACGAUCAGUAGCUGGUCUGAGAGGACGACCAGCCACACUGGAACUGAGACACGGUCCAGACUCCUACGGGAGGCAGCAGUGGGGAAUUUUGGACAAUGGGCGAAGGGCCUGGAUCCAGCAAUGCCUUGUGAGUGAAGAAGGGCUUCGGGUUGUAAAGCUUUUUUGUCAGGGAAGAAACGGGGAGGGCUAAUAUCCUUCACUAAUGACGGUACCCUGAAGAAUAAGCACCGGCUAACUACGUGCCAACAGCCGCGGUAAUACGUAGGGGGCGAGCGUUAAUCCGAAUUACUGGCGCGUAAAGCGUGCCCAGGCCGUUUUUUAAGU
rnacentral:rRNA from 1 species